UAGGGAAUCUUCGGCAAUGGACGAAAGUCUGACCGAGCAACGCCGCGUGAGUGAAGAAGGUUUUCGGAUCGUAAAACUCUGUUGUUAGAGAAGAACAAGGACGUUAGUAACUGAACGUCCCCUGACGGUAUCUAACCAGAAAGCCACGGCUAACUACGUGCCAGCAGCCGCGGUAAUACGUAGGUGGCAAGCGUUGUCCGGAUUUAUUGGGCGCAAAGCGAGCGCAGGCGGUUUCUUAAGUCUGAUGUGAAAGCCCCCGGCUCAACCGGGGAGGGUCAUUGGAAACUGGGAGACUUGAGUGCAGAAGAGGAGAGUGGAAUUCCAUGUGUAGCGGUGAAAUGCGUAGAUAUAUGGAGGAACACCAGUGGCGAAGGCGGCUCUCUGAUCUGUAACUGACGCUGAGGCUCGAAAGCGUGGGGAGCAAACAGG
rnacentral:rRNA from 1 species